rnacentral:lncRNA from 1 species
GAAAAUUUACACAUGUGGUGCACCUUGACCGAAAAAUUACGGUUUUGGUGCACCUUUUAAAAAAAUUACCAAACUAGUAUAACUUUUUAGAAAUCGGCAAUGGGAUUGCCGAUUUCUGUAAAAAAAUUUCUCUCUCCUCCCCAAAAUCGGCACUGGGGAGGGAGUUUUAUUAGGAUAUAAUUUUUUUUUUAAACUCCCCCCU